GAGCGCUUGCUGCGCGGCCCUGCUGGUGGAUGGUCCGUAGUUGGCUGGGCGAGAUCCAAUUUGCAAAGUGGCAUUUUGAAAAAUACAUGUCAAGACUUGGCUGACUCAUUGCCUCGAGUCUCCUUGUGUUUUUCUUGGGAAACCUCUGGAAACCCGCAAACUCUUUAGGCCACAAUUAAUGAAGUCAUUUCAUCUAGGUAGUAACUUUGGUGUGGGAUAAUCUAACUCAUUAUUUAAACGUUUUGUAAGUAUGCAACGCCCUAAAUGCCGCGCAAAGCGUAUUAAAGGCACAACCACGAGCUGACAGAGCUAUGCUAUGUAUGUAUUUAUAUUCUGUCUUUAAUUGGAGAUUUCAAAGUGUUUUAGACAGUGGACUGGAUUCCUAUUGUAUGAACUGUUUUGAGACGAGGACUGAAAUCUUACACCAUGCAGAGGACUGUUCUCUCACUUUUUCACGGACUUUGAUGUUCUUGGAUGAAAGGUGCUAUAUAAAUACAAAGCAUGAUUAAUGUCAUAAUUUGAAUAUUUGGCACAAUAAAGGCUGGGUUGUGAUAAGCCUG